rnacentral:ncRNA from 2 species
AAUAUUUACUAGGGGAGCCCUUUAUGGCUGAGACGUUAAUUAACGGACCCUUUGAACCUGUUUAGUUAGUACUAACGAAGGAAAGUAAUGGUCAAUGCGA